ensembl:lncRNA
GUCAUGGUGACGCGGACGGUUGACCUCACAAGACCGGGGUCGGCCAUGGCUACCAGCGUGAACGGCAGCGCUUCAGGUGGAUGGUGAUCAGAAGAAGCUGCAGACACAGAGAGCAGAAGAAUUAAAAUCAACGGGUAUCAAGUAAAUGCAAGAACAUGUGCUGAAGGGACGGCAGCUGGGAUGGAGGACGUGGAGCUUUCAGUUCUCCAUCCAUUAGCAGCUGACUGACAGAUCACCUCAGAUCACCUCCACAUGUUGACGGGUCCUUUAUAUCCACACCAAACCACAGCAGCUUCGCCUCCAUCAACACGCGUGAGAGCGAAAGGCUAAAUGUGAG